UACGUAGGGUGCGAGCGUUGUCCGGAAUUAUUGGGCGUAAAGAGCUUGUAGGCGGUCUGUCGCGUCUGCUGUGAAAAUCCGGGGCUCAACCCCCGACUUGCAGUGGGUACGGGCAGACUAGAGUGUGGUAGGGGAGACUGGAAUUCCUGGUGUAGCGGUGAAAUGCGCAGAUAUCAGGAGGAACACCGAUGGCGAAGGCAGGUCUCUGGGCCACUACUGACGCUGAGAAGCGAAAGCAUGGGGAGCGAACAGG
rnacentral:rRNA from 1 species